UAAUGAUCGGCCAGGGUCAAGCUCGAUGACUGACCACUGGACCAGUCCCUUCAGGCCCUCCAAGUCCAAAUGCCACAAAUGUACCACGUGGUGGAAAAUACCGGACUCCCAGGAGCUUGUUUUCACGUGGACAAUCAUUGAUGCACUCGGAAAACUUUUGAAAAUCCCGAUGCGACAAAGAAGCUGGCGUCCGACGGCGACGACUUCCACGUCGGAUGAAGGUGAAGUAGGUCGCGUGUCAAAGUUUACAAGCUGAGUUACAGCGUUAGCCUGACACGCUAUUAUCGUGUACGUGCAAUCGCAAUCGUACGUCGAUUUAGGUCACACGCACACACACACAUUUUUGUAUUUCAGACCU